AGAACACCUCUUGACAUAACAUGGAACUGUCCCAGUGGGCACAGAGCAGAGAAGUUCUGCUUCUUGCUAACUGAAGUGUGACAACCAGGACGUGGUUUUUGUGCAUAAAAAGCAAAAGGCUGCAAGACUUGAAGGUACAUGGCUUGGGUUGACUCCUGCUGUGUCAGAACUCUCCAUUGCAAGUGGCAAGGUUGGAACUCUAGAAAUGGACUCUCUCCUACUGUAGGGGAAAGGAAAUAUGUUGUCUCAUGUCUAUUAAAGACAGAUUUCA